GAUGAACGCUGGCGGCGUGCUUAACACAUGCAAGUCGAGCGAAGCGCUUUGGCGGAUUUCUUCGGAUUGAAGCCUUGGUGACUGAGCGGCGGACGGGUGAGUAACGCGUGGGUAACCUGCCUCAUACAGGGGGAUAACAGUUGGAAACGACUGCUAAUACCGCAUAAGCGCACAGUACCGCAUGGUACGGUGUGAAAAACUCCGGUGGUAUGAGAUGGACCCGCGUCUGAUUAGGUAGUUGGUGGGGUAACGGCCUACCAAGCCGACGAUCAGUAGCCGACCUGAGAGGGUGACCGGCCACAUUGGGACUGAGACACGGCCCAAACUCCUACGGGAGGCAGCAGUGGGGAAUAUUGCACAAUGGGGGAAACCCUGAUGCAGCGACGCCGCGUGAGCGAUGAAGUAUUUCGGUAUGUAAAGCUCUAUCAGCAGGGAAGAAAAUGACGGUACCUGACUAAGAAGCCCCGGCUAACUACGUGCCAGCAGCCGCGGUAAUACGUAGGGGGCAAGCGUUAUCCGGAUUUACUGGGUGUAAAGGGAGCGUAGACGGCAUGGCAAGCCAGAUGUGAAAGCCCGGGGCUCAACCCCGGGACUGCAUUUGGAACUGUCAGGCUAGAGUGUCGGAGAGGAAAGCGGAAUUCCUAGUGUAGCGGUGAAAUGCGUAGAUAUUAGGAGGAACACCAGUGGCGAAGGCGGCUUUCUGGACGAUGACUGACAUUGAGGCUCGAAAGCGUGGGGAGCAAACAGG
rnacentral:rRNA from 1 species